rnacentral:rRNA from 1 species
UGGGAAUAUUGGGCAAUGGGCGAAAGCCUGACCCAGCAACGCCGCGUGAAGGAAGAAGGUCUUCGGAUUGUAAACUUUUGUCUUAUGGGACGAUAAUGACGGUACCAUAGGAGGAAGCCACGACUAACUACGUGCCAGCAGUCGCGGUAAUACGUAGGUGGCGAGCGUUAUCCGGAAUUAUUGGGUUUAAAGGGUGCGCAGGCGGCGCGCCAAGUCAGCGGUCAAAGUUCCGGGCUCAACCCGGUGUCGCCGUUGAAACUGGCGUGCUCGAGUGCGUGCGAGGAAGGCGGAAUGCGUUGUGUAGCGGUGAAAUGCAUAGAUAUGACGCAGAACUCCGAUUGCGAAGGCAGCUUUCCAGCGCGCUACUGACGCUGAGGCACGAAAGCGUGGGGAUCGAACAGGAUUAGAUACCCUGGUAGU